UACGUAGGUGGCAAGCGUUGUUCGGAAUUAUUGGGCGUAAAGGGCGCGUAGGCGGUUUGUUAAGUCGGUUGUGAAAGCCCGGGGCUCAACCCCGGAGAGUCGACCGAUACUGGCAAACUAGAGUACAGAAGAGGUAGCUGGAAUUCCUGGUGUAGCGGUGAAAUGCGUAGAUAUCAGGAGGAACACCGGUGGCGAAGGCGGGUCUCUGGGCCGGCAUUGACGCUGAGGCGCGAAAGCUAGGGGAGCAAACGGG
rnacentral:rRNA from 1 species